UACGGAGGAUGCAAGCGUUAUCCGGAAUUAUUGGGCGUAAAGCGUCCGCAGGUGGCACUUCAAGUCUGCUGUCAAAGACCGGGGCUUAACCCUGGAAAGGCAGUGGAAACUGAAGCGCUAGAGUGUGGCAGGGGUAGAGGGAAUUCCCGGUGUAGCGGUGAAACGCGUAGAGAUCGGGAAGAACAUCGGUGGCGAAAGCGCUCUACUGGGCCAUAACUGACACUCAGGGACGAAAGCUAGGGGAGCGAAUGGG
rnacentral:rRNA from 1 species